rnacentral:rRNA from 1 species
GACCAGACUCCUACGGGAGGCAGCAGUGGGGAAUAUUGCACAAUGGGGGAAACCCUGAUGCAGCGACGCCGCGUGAGUGAAGAAGUAUUUCGGUAUGUAAAGCUCUAUCAGCAGGGAAGAAAAUGACGGUACCUGAUUAAGAAGCCCCGGCUAACUACGUGCCAGCAGCCGCGGUAAUACGUAGGGGGCAAGCGUUAUCCGGAUUUACUGGGUGUAAAGGGAGCGUAGACGGUGCAGCAAGUCUGAUGUGAAAGGUCGGGGCCCAACCCCGGGACUGCAUUGGAAACUGUUGAACUGGAGUACAGGAGAGGUAAGCGGAAUUCCUAGUGUAGCGGUGAAAUGCGUAGAUAUUAGGAGGAACACCAGUGGCGAAGGCGGCCUGCUGGACGGUGACUGACGCUGAGGCUCGAAAGCGUGGGGAGCAAACAGGAUUAGAUACCCUCGUAU